UCCAGACUCCUACGGGAGGCAGCAGUGGGGGAUAUUGCACAAUGGGGGAAACCCUGAUGCAGCGACGCCGCGUGAGUGAAGAAGUAUUUCGGUAUGUAAAGCUCUAUCAGCAGGGAAGAAAAAAGACGGUACCUGACUAAGAAGCCCCGGCUAACUACGUGCCAGCAGCCGCGGUAAUACGUAGGGGGCAAGCGUUAUCCGGAUUUACUGGGUGUAAAGGGAGCGUAGACGGCAAUACAAGUCGGAAGUGAAAUACCCGGGCUCAACCUGGGAACUGCUUUGGAAACUGUAUGGCUGGAGUGCUGGAGAGGUAAGCGGAAUUCCUAGUGUAGCGGUGAAAUGCGUAGAUAUUAGGAGGAACACCAGUGGCGAAGGCGGCUUACUGGACAGUAACUGACGUUGAGGCUCGAAAGCGUGGGGAGCAAACAGGAUUAGAUACCCCAGUAGAC
rnacentral:rRNA from 1 species